AAUUAUAUCUUUAGAAAAAUAA
rnacentral:snRNA from 1 species